UUUCCCUAUUUUUCUUCUUUCUCUCUCUUUGGUCUCUCUCUCUUGGCUCUCAGGUCUGUCUCUCCCAAUAUUUUUUGGUUACAUUUAUCAUAUAAAAUCUUUGAUCUACCAAAAUCUAUUAAGUUUCAGAUCAUAGUUCUUAAGAUCAAAGUGAAGAGCUUGGAGGGAGCAACGUUUUGACCGGUGGAGAUCGAAAUCCAACAAAGUCAAAAAUUGAGGUUUUUGCUUGUUUCCUCUUCUAGCUUGAGGUAUAGGUGCUAUGCCUCCGCCAAGACAUUGACUUGAAAGAACUUCGAGCUGAGGCAUCAUUUUUGUUUUAUUGUUAUUUGUUGAAUGUAAGCCGAGGGUUGUAUUUGCGUUGAGUUGAAACUCCAUUUUGUGUAAUCAAGAAUGUUCUUGGAUGAAUUUGUAAGCCUGUAAGGCACUUAUUAUCUGUUUGACUUCCAUUUCAUACUUGUUGUAACAUGUAUGCUUUGGAUUGGAGUUGGGGCAUUGAUAUGUGAAUAACAUGUAUUUGGCAUU